rnacentral:rRNA from 1 species
GGAAUCUUAGACAAUGGGCGAAAGCCUGAUCUAGCCAUGCCGCGUGAGUGACGAAGGCCCUAGGGUCGUAAAGCUCUUUCGCCAGGGAUGAUAAUGACAGUACCUGGUAAAGAAACCCCGGCUAACUCCGUGCCAGCAGCCGCGGUAAUACGUAGGGGUUUAGCGUUGUUCGGAAUUACUGGGCGUAAAGCGCACGUAGGCGGAUUAGAAAGUUGGGGGUGAAAUCCCAGGGCUCAACCCUGGAACUGCCUUCAAAACUACUAGUCUAGAGUUCGAGAGAGGUGAGUGGAAUUCCGAGUGUAGAGGUGAAAUUCGUAGAUAUUCGGAGGAACACCGGUGGCGAAGGCGGCUCACUGGCUCGAUACUGACGCUGAGGUGCGAAAGUGUGGGGAGCAAAC